UAAUACCGAUACCACAACAGUGUCCACAGCCAGUAACACCGAUACGACAACAGUAUCCACUGCCAGUAAUACCGAUACGACAACAGUGUCCACUGCCAGUUAUACUGAUACGACAACAGUGUCAACUGCCAGUAAUACCGAUAUUACAAAAGUGUACCCUGACGGUAAUACCGAAUCAACAACAUCAUCUGACAAUAAGAGGGGUGCAACGCCUCCGUUUGGACCAACACAAGUAUCAGCAGGGAAUGGAAGAUUUCCUGUCUGGGCCCUUGUAUUGAUUGCUGUCGUGGUUGUGAUAUUCGCUGGGAUUGCUUUUUUCUAGUGCAGGAAAAAUAAAUAACAGUGUGAGUCUGGGAUGAGUCCUAAUACAGAAAAGAAACCCUCCUUGAUUGUAUGGAAAUGCUCUCUUUUCCCGCAUGAAAGAGACAGGUAUUAUCUCAAGUGGCCCCUGUGUCGAUACCUAUGAGCACUCUCCCAUCCGUCUUAA